rnacentral:rRNA from 1 species
CCCCCUUGGGGUAUGCCUUAGUACGGCGAGUGAGCGGCAAAAGCUCAAAUUUGAAAUCUGGUACCUUUGGUGCCCGAGUUGUAAUUUGGAGAGUACCACUUGGACUGUACUUCUGCCUAUGUUCCUUGGAACAGGACGUCAUGGAGGGUGAGAAUCCCGUGUGGCGAGGGUGUCAGUUCUUUGUAAAGGGUGCUCGAAGAGUCGAGUUGUUUGGGAAUGCAGCUCUAAGUGGGUGGUAAAUUCCAUCUAAAGCUAAAUACAGGCGAGAGACCGAUAGCGAACAAGUACAGUGAUGGAAAGAUGAAAAGAACUUUGAAAAGAGAGUGAAAAAGUACGUGAAAUUGUUGAAAGGGAAGGGCAUUUGAUCAGACAUGGUGUUUUGCGCCCCUUGCCUCUCGUGGGCUUGGGACUCUCGCAGCUCACUGGGCCAGCAUCGGUUUUGGCGGCCGGAAAAAACCUAGGGAAUGUGGCUCUGCGCCUCGGUGUAGAGUGUUAUAGCCCUGGGGAAUACGGCCAGCCGGGACCGAGGACUGCGAUACUUGUUAUCUAGGAUGCUGGCAUAAUGGUUAUAUGCCGCCCGUCUUAGAGAAAACGGAGACAAAAAAAAAGGUGGGGGAGAGGGAGAGG